AGAGUUUGAUCCUGGCUCAGGAUGAACGCUGGCGGCGUGCUUAAUACAUGCAAGUCGAACGGAGACUGUAGCAAUACUGUCUUAGUGGCGAACGGGUGAGUAACGCGUUGGUGACCUGCCCCGAAGAGGGGGAUAACAGUCCGAAAGGAUUGCUAAUACCCCAUGUGGUCGUUUGGAUUAGAUGCCUUAUGACUAAACGGAUUUAUUCGCUUCGGGAGGGGCCUGCGUCCCAUCAGCUAGUUGGUGAGGUAAUAGCUUACCAAGGCGAUGACGGGUAGGGGACCUGAGAGGGUGGCCCCCCACAAUGGAACUGAAACACGGUCCAUACACCUACGGGUGGCAGCAGUAGGGAAUAUUGGUAAUCUGGGAAACCGGGAACCAGCAACGCCGCGUGCGCGAUGACGGCCUUCGGGUUGUAAAGCGCUUUUUAAAGGGAUGAGGAAGGACAGUACCUUUAGAAUAAGCCUCGGCUAACUACGUGCCAGCAGCCGCGGUAA
rnacentral:rRNA from 1 species